GAUGAACGCUGGCGGCGUGCCUAAUACAUGCAAGUCGAGCGAACAGACGAGGAGCUUGCUCCUCUGACGUUAGCGGCGGACGGGUGAGUAACACGUGGAUAACCUACCUAUAAGACUGGGAUAACUUCGGGAAACCGGAGCUAAUACCGGAUAAUAUAUUGAACCGCAUGGUUCGAUAGUGAAAGACGGUUUUGCUGUCACUUAUCGAUGGAUCCGCGCCGCAUUAGCUAGUUGGUAAGGUAACGGCUUACCAAGGCAACGAUGCGUAGCCGACCUGAGAGGGUGAUCGGCCACACUGGAACUGAGACACGGUCCAGACUCCUACGGGAGGCAGCAGUAGGGAAUCUUCCGCAAUGGGCGAAAGCCUGACGGAGCAACGCCGCGUGAGUGAUGAAGGUCUUCGGAUCGUAAAACUCUGUUAUUAGGGAAGAACAAAUGUGUAAGUAACUAUGCACGUCUUGACGGUACCUAAUCAGAAAGCCACGGCUAACUACGUG
rnacentral:rRNA from 1 species